AAGAAAAAAAGAAUUAGUGCGAUAGAUAGGAUAGGUUUAUAUUAGCUCAGAAUUUGGAAGGCUCAUCUUACAUAACUUCUCCAGUGGGUGCCUUGAAUCACCUGCCGCCUCUUUGAGUCUAGCCUCAUCUCCUUUGGUGCUAUCCUACAUCAAGAUGUAGAAGUCAUGGAUUCUUACUGUUUUGCCACCAAGUCAGGAAAAUCUAGUAAGAUCUUUAUCAUUUUUUCUCUCUAAUACUUACAGGUUUUGAUGGAGACUAAGGUCUGUGAGGAUAGGGAGAAUCUACUGAUACUCAUAUAUGCACCUCGAGCUGGCUGGUUGAACGAUACUGAUGGGACAGAUGACAUCAAGACAGGCUAGAAUGAGCCAGAAAUGGAGCUGCUAUUUUUGACCCACAGCAAAAACUGGUGGUGACUUUGGUGAUGUGAGAUAUACAAAUGCAAAAAGUGGAAAACACUGCCAUUAAAAGAUACUAAUUUUUU